rnacentral:rRNA from 1 species
UACAGAGGUCUCAAGCGUUGUUCGGAUUCAUUGGGCGUAAAGGGUGCGUAGGCGGCGCGGUAAGUCGGGUGUGAAAUCUCGGAGCUUAACUCCGAAACUGCAUUCGAUACUGCCGUGCUUGAGGACUGGAGAGGAGACUGGAAUUUACGGUGUAGCGGUGAAAUGCGUAGAUAUCAGGAGGAACACCGAUGGCGAAGGCAGGUCUCUGGGCUGACACUGACGCUCAUGCACGAAAGCGUGGGGAGCAAACGAGG